rnacentral:rRNA from 1 species
UACAGAGGUCCCGAGCGUUGUUCGGAUUCACUGGGCGUAAAGGGUGCGUAGGUGGCGAGGUAAGUCGGAUGUGAAAGCUCGGAGCUCAACUCCGAAAUGGCAUUGGAAACUACCUUGCUCGAGGGUUGGAGGGGGGACUGGAAUACUUGGUGUAGCAGUGAAAUGCGUAGAUAUCAAGUGGAACACCAGUGGCGAAGGCGAGUCCCUGGGCAGCUACUGACACUGAGGCCCGAAAGCUAGGGGAGCAAACAGG